rnacentral:rRNA from 1 species
UACAGAGGGUGCGAGCGUUAAUCGGAAUUACUGGGCGUAAAGCGCGCGUAGGCGGCUUUGCAAGUCGGGUGUGAAAUCCCCGGGCUUAACCUGGGAACUGCAUUCGAGACUGCAUAGCUAGAGUAUGGGAGAGGGAAGUGGAAUUUCAGGUGUAGCGGUGAAAUGCGUAGAUAUCUGAAGGAACAUCAGUGGCGAAAGCGACUUCCUGGACCAAUACUGACGCUCAUGUGCGAAAGCGUGGGGAGCAAACAGGAUUAGAUACCCCCGUAGUCC